AAGAACCCCGAGAGGGGAGUGAAAUAGAUUCUGAAACCAUUUACUUACAAGUAGUCAGAGCACGUUAAAGUGUGAUGGCGUACAUCUUGCAGUAUGGGCCGGCGAGUUAUGUUAAUAUGCAAGGUUAAGCAGAAAAAAGCGGAGCCGUAGGGAAACCGAGUCUGAAUAGGGCGACUUUAGUAUAUUGGCAUAUACCCGAAACCAGGUGAUCUAUCCAUGAGCAGGUUGAAGCUUAGGUAAAACUAAGUGGAGGACCGAACCGUAGUACGCUAAAAAGUGCCCGGAUGACUUGUGGAUAGCGGUGAAAUUCCAAUCGAACCUGGAGAUAGCUGGUUCUCUUCGAAAUAGCUUUAGGGCUAGCGUAUAGUAUUGUUUAAUGGGGGUAGAGCACUGAAUGUGGAAUGGCGGCAUCUAGCUGUACUGACUAUAAUCAAACUCCGAAUACCAUUAAAAUUAAGCUAUGCAGUCGGAACGUGGGUGAUAACGUCCACGCUCGCGAGGGAAACAACCCAGAUCGUCAGCUAAGGUCCCAAAAUUGUGUUAAGUGAGAAAGGUUGUGAGAUUUCAUAAACAACUAGGAAGUUGGCUUAGAAGCAGCCACCUUUUAAAGAGUGCGUAAUUGCUCACUAGUCAAGAGAUCUUGCGCCAAUAAUGUAACGGGACUCAAACACAAUACCGAAGCUACGGGCACAUUAUGUGCGUUAGGAGAGCGUUUUAAUUUCGUUGAAGUCAGACCGUGAGGACUGGUGGAGAGAUUAAAAGUGAGAAUGCCGG
rnacentral:rRNA from 1 species